CUGCAGGCGAUGCAAGUCCUUCUGACCUCGAGAUGGACUACUACGAUCUGGCAAUCCCACUUGAGCAUGAGGAAGUGGUAUCUGCCAGCCAUGACCUCCCAUGCUACUCAGGAGCUGCAUCUCCAACUAAGCACUGGGCAACGGCAGCACUAGAGGUCCCGGCUGAUCCCUGUGCACGUAUAC